UCUCCUGGAAAACGGGUGGUAAUGCCGGAUGCUCCGACUCCUCGCAUGGGGUGUCGGGAAAGAUUUCAUCGGUAUGGGAUGGGGUCGCGUCCUAUCAGGUAGUCGGCGGGGUAACGGCCCACCGAGCCUACGACGGGUAGCCGGCCUGAGAGGGCGACCGGCCACAUUGGGACUGAGAUACGGCCCAGACUCCUACGGGAGGCAGCAGUGGGGAAUAUUGCACAAUGGGCGCAAGCCUGAUGCAGCGACGCCGCGUGCGGGAUGACGGCCUUCGGGUUGUAAACCGCUUUUGAUCGGGAGCAAGCCUUCGGGUGAGUGUACCUUUCGAAUAAGCACCGGCUAACUACGUGCCAGCAGCCGCGGUAAUACGUAGGGUGCAAGCGUUAUCCGGAAUUAUUGGGCGUAAAGGGCUCGUAGGCGGUUCGUCGCGUCCGGUGUGAAAGUCCAUCGCUUAACGGUGGAUCUGCGCCGGGUACGGGCGGGCUGGAGUGCGGUAGGGGAGACUGGAAUUCCCGGUGUAACGGUGGAAUGUGUAGAUAUCGGAAAGAACACCA
rnacentral:rRNA from 1 species